GGUGGGGUGCCCGAGUGGCUAAAGGGAGCAGACUGUAAAUCUGCCGGCAAUCGCCUACGUAGGUUCGAAUCCUACCCCCACCA
rnacentral:tRNA from 1 species